UAAAAUACACAACAAAGCACUAAGCAGUUUCAAUACACUUACACAUUCAAUUCGAUACGCUAUUUCUAAACUGAAAUUGUAUUGAAUUUCAUAUAAAUACGAACUGCGAGGCGAGAGAGCACGUAUUUUUUGCAAUCGAUAUAUUUGCUGUAAGACUGAGAUUGCAUGUUACUACUAAAACCCCUGUCCAAACGUCGAUAGAAUGAACCAAUAUUUGCAGCGAACAAUUCGCUGUUCAAUGAAAACUCACCCACCGACUCGAACUUUCAUGGUUAUCGGAUUUUACUAUUGGUACUUUUAUUUAUCCAACUAUUUACGAAUUUCGAUUUAUUUCAACACAAUGAUAUAGUAUCAAUAAAGUUGAGCUUAAGCAAUCAUAAGACGUGAUUAUUAUGAUUAUCACACACUCUUAUCUGUGAAAUCCUGAUAAACUCAACUGUCAAAAACUUUAUGACACAUGAAGUAAACGCUCUGAGAAAUUAACGUUUUUUACGAUAUCAAUGUUAUUAAAAAAAUCGUGAUAGAAUAAUAUCUAUAAUCUAUAAUAUAUAUGUAUAGAUAUGUACAGAUUACUCUAUCACGAUUUAACAAAGUGCAGUGUAAUCGCCAUCAUGUAGAAACGACACAGCAACUAGACAAUAACGCUCCGGUAAUCCUGGAUUUUAGGAUUCAACUCGGGAAAGUAUCAUUGUGUCCGACGCAGAUCGGAACAAACAAGCGAAAAGCUAUUAUUUACUAUACAUGUAAAUUGUAAAAGAUUUGUUAUGAAAAUACAGCGGUAAAAAGUUUGAAGGGUAUCAACGCUCAAAUUAUACAAUGAGCGACAUAGAGAGGGAGCGUCCCUCGCAAUUCGGUAAUCGCGUCAGGUAAUGCCUGCAUAUAAAUUACUCCUUUGUUCUAUGUAAUCUCAUCAGUCGGCUAUUGUUUGUUUAUCAUACGAAUGCCUCUAACUACAUGUUUGUUACAUUGUUACUCUCAAAUUGCUAUAUCAUAUACGAGCAUUUUUCGUUCUAUAGUUUCUGGUUUUUGGAAAGACGAGUUCGGUUUUUGAAUUAAUUGAAUUGAAUGUAUUGAUGCUUUGUGGCAACUUUUUCAAUCUAUCUUACAAUUAACUAGCAAAAAAAAUUGGGAAUGAAAAAAUUUACUUUCCCUUAAAUUUCUUCGAUAAAUAAACUUUUCCUCAUUCAUAGGCUUGGUGGUCAAAUUCUUUAAUUUGUACUUGUAGCCAAAGAAGCUAUAUAUUAUUUCUUCUUAUUUGAAACAUUUGCCAGAAUUAUUUAUUUCGCGUAAUUUAAAUAGUCACCGCUAUAAUAAUUCGUUUAAUUCAUUUUAUACUCAUGUUUAUUUUAUAUUUAUCACACAAUACGAGUGCAUUACGACUAGCGAGGCCUCAAUUCCACCUUAAAAGAAUUGAUAUGCUCUUUUUCUCGAAGGACGGUAAAACUACGGCUGACGGGUAGAAUUUCGUAUUCGGCCUCAACAUCCGAUGACGAAACUCAGCUGUGGGUAUUAAUCCGAAUAAAUCUGAAUACUGUCCACGGUAAAUGCGUUAGAAAAUUCAGCGAUAAUUUUACCCCACACAAGGUAUAGAAAACGAUAUUUUUGGUAUUUUUAUUAGUGAAAUAAACCAUGAACUUAAUAAGACGGAUGCUAAACAAUUUAGCUAAAAUUCUUUAGUAUAUCAAACAUAAUAUCUCCUUUCUAUUAUACCCAAUAAGAAUCUAUUCCAAUUUCGAAUGAUCAUAAGUUCAAUACUUGAACGUUUUGUUAUAAAAUAUCUAUAAAGUAUUUUCAAUAAACUUAUAACGGUUUCUUUUACAUUUUUGAUAGAAGUUGUGAUAGCUUUAGAAGUGGGUUAUUUUUUAUUCUGUUACAAGAACCUCUUCGAAAACUGUGUCAACUCAUUGAAGGGUUUUAUUUUGUUAUUUGUUAACCCUUUGAAGUUCGUUGAUAUAAAUUUUGGAUACUUUUUUUUAAUAAACUACGGUAAUUGUAGCUAUCCCUCAAAAGAAGAAUGACAAUUAUUUAC